GAGGGUAUAGCUCAAGUGGUAGAGCACAUGCUUAGAAUGCAUGAGGUUCUGGGUUCAAUCCCCAGGACCUCCU
rfam:Camelus ferus unplaced genomic scaffold scaffold63, whole genome shotgun sequence.